rnacentral:snoRNA from 1 species
UGGUGUACCAUGGCUGCAAACAGCCUCUUCGCAGGGUAUGCAUCAUGGUGCCUAUAUGGGUUGCUCUAAGGGACCCUGGAGACAGCC